UACAGGGGGUGCAAACGUUGCUCGGAAUUAUUGGGCGUAAAGCGCGCGUAGGCGGCUACUUAAGUCGGAUGUGAAAGCCCCUGGCUCAACUGGGGAAGUGCACCCGAAACUGAGUGGCUUGAGUACUAAAGAGGGUCGCGGAAUUCCCGGUGUAGAGGUGAAAUUCGUAGAUAUCGGGAGGAACACCAGUGGCGAAGGCGGCUACCUGGACCGGUUCUGACGCUGAGGCGCGAAAGCGUGGGUAGCAAACAGG
rnacentral:rRNA from 1 species